GAGGGAAAGUAGACCGGUAAGUCAUCGCCUCGGUGUACAUGGAAGAGGCGGUAUCAAAGUAGAGAUUCGGCAGCCCGGAAUAUUGAGAAAUCUCCAUCUGAUGCAACAUGGAAGCAAGCUGAUUCAUAUCAUGAGAGUAACGAGGAGGGUCUUGAGCUGGUAUAUCGUGAUACUCAUGUACCGGAUCCCCCUGUUGAUCCGGAUGAUUACCUUC
rnacentral:lncRNA from 1 species